GCGGGGAAGGUUUUACCGCCGCUCGAUUUUUCGUGUGUUUGCCUUAUCUGCUUGAUGGACGAAUGAAAUGAACCGACGCUUACAGAGAGGAGCUCUUUUGUUCCUCUGCUGGCUGUUGUGUGGGACUGUUCUUUCUUUCGUUGGUUCUUCCUCGUCAAGGAAGUUUUGUCGUUGUGGGCCCCAAUUAUGGUCUGUUUGAGUUGGGCUGUCGGCCCAAUUUCGAUAGCUUGCAUUUUGUUGGAUUGGCAAGUUCUGUUUUAUGGUAUGGCCCAAGUUUUUUUCUUUUCAAGUAGUUUUGUACGAAUAGAUAGAAAGCGAAUCUUAAUAGAAGAAGACAAUAUGAGGAGCUGUUUUUGACUAUGAUAUUACUAUCGUGGAUGUGUGAAGCGAGCAACUCAACUUUUUUUUCGAAAUUCUUAGUCGUAACCAUCAAACUUAUAAUAUCAUAAAAAGGAAAAAAUGUAAAAUCACAAAUAAACGUUAUGGUCGAAGAAGCAAGAUGCCACCAUUGAAAACGAUUCAAGGUAGUGGUGCAUUCACUAUGACCACCAAUUAUCUCGGUCCGGAAAGUUCAACUCGUUCCCACAACAUUUGUGGGUGUAGUGAAGGAAGGCCGGCCUGUGCAAUCAUCUUGCUAAUGCCAUCAUCAUCAUCAUCAUCAUCAUCAUCAUCAUCAU
rnacentral:lncRNA from 1 species